CUUUGGAUUCAUUUUUUUCUUUUAAUUUUUGAAAGACAACUAAAAUAAAAACACCUUUUAUGUCCCCUAGGAAUAUCACGGCUUCUAGGCACUGUACUGUGCCUCAUGGAGAAGCUUGCCCUGCUCGCUGGGAGUGAUGGGGAGCUCUAAAAGCCUGGUCCUGGGAACUCCCCUGGACCCAGCUACUUCUGCUGCCAUCUGACCUAGAGCCCAACUGCACUCCUUCAGCCAAGCAGCCCCAAGCUGACUUUGAGAAACUGCAAUGACCUGGACAACUCACCCCACUUCCCAGGAAAGUCUCUCCUUCCUUCUCUCAAAAAAGAUUGGAGGCUGCUCUGGGAUUAGUGCUGCCUGCUACCUCCCUGAAGGCUUUGUAUCCUGCAGAAGUGGGCUCCCAGGGCCUCCAUGGAGAGGAGUGCCUUCUCAGCUCAGCCUUGACUUCAGAGGGGUCUAGGGUAGGAGUGGGAAUGAGGGCUCCAUUACUUACUUCAUUCCUUCGUAGUCUAUGCUAAGUAUUCAAGAGUUACAAGCAAAGCUGCAAACUUGUAUGUUCUUUCCUUCAUCUUUGACAAAACACUGUUAACCAAACUGAAAUGAAGCCAGGUAAGAAGUAAGAUUUUGGCAUUUACUGGUGGCGGGGGGUGUCUUAGGAAUUGUAAUUUGGUAGACACAAUACCCUUUAUGACAACCUAGAAAAUCAGCUUCUAACUUUAGAACUUCAGACUCUGUAGAGCCCUGAGCUGGAAUAUACUGGAGCAGGGAGGACCGUCCUUACUGCCCCUUCAGUCUAGGGGUGUGUGUGUAUGUGUGUGUGUGUGUGUGUGUGUGUGUGUGUUUGUGUGCUAGAGAAGUGUGUGCUUUGGUUCCAAUGUUGUGGGAGGAAACCUGGACAGAGGCCCAGACAGGAGCCCAAAGUGUGGUUCAGAAGAAAGCCCUGAGCUUUGGUCUGGCAUCUUUUCUUGGGGCUGUGAAAUCCUCACCCUGUGAAGAGCCCCAAGCCCAGAGGAAGUGGCAGCAUUAUACCGUCCCAGACGGAGAAGACCCUCAAUCAAUACUGUUCAAAGGAAAGGACAGGAUAGACCUUUGCAAUAGACUCUUCUAAUUUUGAAAUUGAGGCACAGAGAGAAUAGGACACUCGCCCAUGGUCCUGGUCAUACACUGAUAAAGAAACAGCUGGUACUUGAAUUCAGACUUCCAGACUCUUAGAUAAACUCUGGAAACAGAUAGAGCUCCGCAGAGCAGCUGGGACAUUGUGGCCAGAGAGAAUCCUUGGCUCAAAACUUAGAUUUCUGGAGUCUCGUGAAUUCCUCUGCAGGAGAUGUGUAACUAAGAAUACGUGGUCUGAAGUGACUUCGAUGAUUCUCUACUCCAAUCUCCUUGUUUUUCAAAUAGAGCAUCUAAAUGCUUCAUAUUUUGUUCCAAAGUGCUAUGGUUUGAAUGUGACUCUCAAAACACAUGUGUUGGAAACUUAAUCUCCAAUGCUACAGUUUUGCGAUGUGGGGCCUAAUGAGAGGUGAUUAGACCAAGAAGGUGGGGUGAAUGGAUUAGUGCUGUUAUUAUGGGAGUGGGCUUGUCCU